GGGGUUGUGGCUCAGUGAUAGAGCACUUGCCUAGCAUGUGUGAGGCCCUGGGUUCAAUUCUCAGCACCG
rnacentral:tRNA from 1 species